UUUACAGAUGAGAAAACUGAGGCUCUCGAGUAAUUUCUCUGGCACCACAUAGCUUUGGAGCUGCUGGAUGCCUAAAACCAGGUCUCAUGACAUCUUUAUGAGAAAACGAAACUACGCUAAAUAGAGCUAAAUGACAACAAAAACGAUUUCAAGUUUUAGGAAACCCAAAUGAGAAAAGGACUUGGGCUGGGAUUUUGGAGUUCACAGAGUGGACAUAAUCUGGACCUCCAUCUCGAGUUAAAAGGAUCGGAAGAUACAGCUUGAAGGUUCAGGCUGAUUAAAAUCUCAGAGCUGCAGUAUAAACAGGAUGCAGACACAUUUUUGUUGGAAAUAGAGACUCACCUUCAAGCUGGAGCCAGUGCACUUACCGGAGAAGCAAGGCUAUGGUACAGAGGAAACCAUUCCGUGGGUAUGUGUAGAAAACCAUCCAAGCCAUGGGACACCACAGGUGAAGAGGCCAUAUAGGAAGGAACGUGAGUGGCCUGGAGAAGCCGAGAGUGACCACCCCCAACCCCCGCUGAGAGCCAGCAGAGAUGGGAGGACAUUAGACCUGCAGCUACAAGGAACGAGAUCAUGCCGACAACCUCAGUGACGCUGACAGCAGAUUCUUCCAGAGCUACCAGGAAAGAGUCCACCUUACGAAAUUUUGUCCUUGUGAGAUUCUGCGUAGAGAACCCCAGUAAGCCCACCCCAACUUCUGUUCCACAAAACCGUGACAUAAUAAAUGAGUGUUGUUCUUAAGCCGCUAAAUAUGUGGUAAUUCAUUCGUUAUACAGCAAUAAAAAACAAAUACUGCUAACUCAGAGAAAUCAGAGCAGAAUUAAUG